rnacentral:RNase_P_RNA from 1 species
AGUGGUGUGCGGGUUGCUUACCAUCUUUUGAUGGAGGAAGCUCUUCCCGUGCAGAGCGCACAUGGCCCAAGGCCUUGCCUCUGAGCAGAAACGAUACUGCCAUGUCGCAUAAGCUAUGACAAUACGAGCGCGGCAGUGCAGGUGAAACGGCAGAGGAGGUGCGCAGUGAGCAUGCAAGGCAGAACGCCGCUUAGUCGAAUGCAACCUAAAACAGAAGGAGGGCUACGGCACACCACU